ACUGGGUGGUGUACGUCCACGCGGCGCCGGAGGUGGUGAAGGUGAUGGAGGAGGAGCCAACCGUGUUCAGAGCCCCGGUGAGCAGCGACAUAUUCGGGUGAUGGUGUGCGCCGGCGGCCCGGCUGACACAAGUCGGCAUGCCAGAGGGGUGGUAUAUGGAACUAUGGGUUGAUCUUUCCACCUGUACUAUGUACAGUCACGUGCUAGUGUCGCUUGCCGUUGUGGAGAGAUUGAUGUACCUCGGGUAACAACGUGGGGUGGUGCUACAAAUCAACCGACUCGGGUUCGCGGCCGUACGAUCAUCUGUCCUAUGUCUGUUGGAUCAGCAGCAAUGCUAUACAUACAUAAAUUUACAUAGGUUUUAUAAAAAAAUGGAUCUUGAUUGAAGAUUAAGGAGAAUGGGCCCCACCCCCCUUGAAAAUCAGGGGGGAGUGGUUAGUUAGAAAGAAAGAAUCCUAAUCAGCGUGUAACCUUAUGUAACUGUUUGUAUGUCUAGCAUUUUUGGUUGGAUCAGCCAACUCUCUUCUCC
rnacentral:lncRNA from 1 species